UGAGGAAUCUUGCACAAUGGGCGAAAGCCUGAUGCAGCGACGCCGCGUGGAGGAUGAAGGUCUUAGGAUUGUAAACUUCUGUUAAGUGGGAAGCGGUACCAUUAGAGAAAGCACCGGCUAACUUCGUGCCAGCAGCCGCGGUAAUACGAAGGGUGCGAGCGUUAUUCGGAUUGAUUGGGCGUAAAGGGUGCGCAGGCGGAAUGCUAAGUCAACUGUUAAAUUUCCCGGCCUAACCGGGAGUCAGCAGUAGAUACUGGCGUUCUUGAGGGUGGAAGAGAGAAGCGGAAUUCUCGGAGUAGCGGUAAAAUGCGUAGAUCUCGAGAGGAACACCGAUGGCGAAGGCAGCUCUUGGUCCAUUCUGACGCUCAUGCACGAAAGCGUGGGGAGCAAACAGGAUUAGAUACCCUAGUAGU
rnacentral:rRNA from 1 species